GCAGCGGUGUGACGUACGAACAUGGCGGCCAAGGCUGCUUCUGUGAGCAGGCCAGAGGAGCUGAAAAACAUGUAGAACAGAAUCAUGAAAGCCACCAAACGAUAAUCACAAGUCAACUUUAAAGUUCCAAAACUGUCAGUGGUGUACCUUCCUGUCUCUUCAUGGUGUCCACGCCAUCAAGAACACAAACAGCAUCACUGGAGAGAUGGAUGUGUCCAGACCGUCUGUCAAGUCAAAGAAGCAAUCUCUGCCUAAACCAUCAAAAUCUUUGCAAAACUCCAAUCAGGAAGCAACACAGCGAGAGGCCGCCGACUCGUCCAAGUGCUGCAAAGAAACCCUCGCCGCUCCGAAGGAUGAAGCCAAGGUAAGUCGCGGGCCAGGCAAAGGACCAUCGGACGGAAAGCGAGAACGCUCGUCGAGGUUAAACAGACUGACGGGAAGAACAAGCUCCAGGGAGAGAGAAAACAGCACAUUUGCAAACAGAGAGACAAACGCUCCUGUUACACCUGAGAAAGUCCCUACAGAGUGUCAUGGAUUGAAAGCUGCAGCAGUGACACAUCACGCUGGUGAGGUCUGCACAGCUGUGGGUUCGGUUCCGAUGGAAGGACCGCUGACCGAGCAGCAGCUUGGCCUCCGACAGGCCGAGGAGCGCCUUUGCAGAGAUUACAUCCACAGACUUUUGAAACAGUCCCCGGAGUACCCAAACUACCAGUACAUAUGCAAGCUCUGUUCGGUGCAUAUUGAGCACAUUCAAGGAGCCCACAAGCACAUCAAAGAGAAGAGACACAAAAAGAACAUACUGGAAAAACAGGAGGAGAAUGAGCUGCGUGCCCUCCCACCCCCCUCUGCUUCACAGCUGAGGGCCAUCGACGCAGCUGUCCUGGAAGCAGCCAAACAACAUGGGAUUUCAGAGGAGGACUUUGAGCUUCGGAAGGGUGUCGUGGUUAGGAUGGAGGAUAUCAUCAAGAAAGACAUCUCAGCUUGUUCGCUGCGUCUUUAUGGCUCUUGUCUUACCAGAUUUGCCUUCAAGACGAGUGAUAUCAACAUCGAUAUCGUCUACCCUUCCACAAUGACACAACCUGAAGUCCUGAUUCAAGCGCUUGAAAUCCUCAAAAACAGCACUGUAUUUUCAGAUGUUGUCUCAGACUUCCAUGCCAAAGUUCCCGCCAUCAUCUGUCGUGAUGUCAGCAGUGGCCUGAUGUGCAAAGUGAGUGCGGGCAACGAUGUUGCUUGUCUCACCACAUGUCACCUGGCGGCCUUGGCUAAAAGGGAGCCCAGGUUGGUUCCCCUGGUGUUGGCUUUCCGGUACUGGGCAAGGCUGUGUCACAUUGACUGCCAGGCGGAGGGUGGCAUCCCCUCAUAUUCCUUCGCUCUCAUGGUCAUAUUCUUCUUGCAGCAGAGAAAGGAGCCCAUCCUCCCCGUCUACCUGGGCGCUUGGAUCGCUGGCUUUGAUGUGACACGUGUGGACGAGUAUCACCUGACAGGAAUUCUCUUGGACUUGUUUGUCCGAUGGGAGUACAGACCUCCCAGCUCCACGGACGGACAUGGAGAGAAUCAAAAUGAGGCCUCGGGGGAAGGCAGAACCAAAUCAGAGCACAGUAAAGCGGACGAAACGCAGUAUUCCAACGGCUUGGCCCAGCUCGCUUUUGAACUGUGCAAAGAUGUGUCACUGGGACAGUUGUGGUUUGAACUGCUGCGCUUCUACACGCUGGAGUUUGCACUGGAAGAAUACAUCAUCAGCAUCCGACUGAAAGAGCUUCUCUCUCGGGAAAUGAAGAACUGGCCUCGUCGCAGGCUUGCAAUAGAAGAUCCCUUUGCUUUGAAGAGGAAUGUUGCACGGAGCUUGAACAGUCAAAUGGUGUUUGAGUACAUACAGGAGCGCUUCCGGACAGCUUACAAGUACUUCGCCUGCCCGCAGAGAAAAGGCACGGUAGAGCAACAGAAAAGCAAGACGCCCGCCAAGCAGGGGUCCAAGUUGUACCCGGGAGAGAAGAAGGAGGCCGCAUGUUUGAAGAAGAUGAAGAAUAACUUGAUGGAACUCGACGGAGCUAGUCGGACACCGCUGCAGGGGUCGAAGGAUGACGACCAGCAUGAGAGUGACAAUAAAGAUGAGAAGACGCUGGACAGCAGCCUCAUGGACAUGGUCCUCAGUGAAGGGGACAAACCUUCUGAACACCAGUCAAUCACGUCGCUUUCUGCCAACGGUGUGUUGGACAGUGACGAAGAAGAAGAGGGUAAUAAUGAAGAGAAGGGUGUUUCCGAAAAAGAUGGGAUCAUAUCGUCAGAAGAUCUUCACUAUGUCUUCGAUAAGAUGAUUUUCACCGGCGGGAAGCCUCCGAAUGUCGUGUGCAGCAUUUGCAAACGAGAUGGUCACCUGAAGGAUGAGUGUCCGGAAGACUUUAAGAAGAUCGAGUUGACGACACUGCCGCCGAUGAACGACCGUUUCAGAGAGAUCCUCGAUGGACUCUGCAAACUGUGUCACUAUGAACUCGCUCCUACACAUGCUGAGCAACAGAAGAGGGAGCAGAUCCUGGCGAGUUUGGAAAGGUUCAUAAGGAAGGAGUACAAUGAUAAAGCUCAGUUGUGCUUGUUUGGAUCCUCCAAGAAUGGCUUUGGUUUCCAUGACAGUGACCUUGACAUUUGCAUGACUCUUGAGGGUCAUGAGACGGCGGAGAAGCUGAACUGCAAGGAGAUCAUCGAAGGCCUUGCUAAAGUGCUAAAGAAGCAUACAGGUCUGCGCAACAUCUUGCCAAUUACAACAGCAAAAGUGCCUAUAGUGAAGUUUGAACACAGACAGAGUGGUUUGGAGGGAGACAUCAGCCUCUACAACACCUUAGCUCAACAUAACACCAGAAUGCUGGCUCUGUAUGCAGCCCUGGAUCCACGCGUGCAGUUCCUUGGAUACAUGAUGAAGGUCUUUGCAAAGCGCUGUGACAUUGGGGAUGCGUCCAGAGGAAGCCUCUCAUCUUAUGCAUACAUCCUGAUGGUGCUUUACUUUCUGCAGCAGAGACAGCCUCCAGUCAUCCCAGUCCUGCAGGAGAUUUUUGAUGGGCCACGCGUUCCCCAGCGAAUUGUGGAUGGCUGGAAUGCCUUCUUUUUUGACGACCUUGAUGAUUUGCGUCAGCGUCUGUCAGAGCUGGAGCCCAACACAGAGUCUGUGGGGGAGCUGUGGCUGGGCCUCCUGCGCUUCUACACAGAAGAGUUUGACUUUAAGGAGCACGUCAUCAGCAUCCGACAAAAGAAACGCCUCACCACCUUUGAAAAACAGUGGACGAGCAAAUGCAUCGCUAUUGAAGAUCCUUUUGAUUUGAAUCAUAAUCUCGGUGCCGGAGUUUCACGCAAAAUGACAAACUUCAUCAUGAAGGCGUUUAUAAACGGGAGAAACCUGUUUGGAAACCCAUUCUACCCAAUCCCCGGCACUGAAGUGGACUAUUUCUUUGACCCAAACGUUCUAACGGAUGGUGAGUUGGCCCCGAACGACCGGUGCUGCAGGAUCUGUGGAAAGAUUGGGCAUUACAUGAAGGAUUGUCCCAAGAGACGCAGAAUGAAAAAGAAAGAAAAUGACAAAGACGAGGACGUGAAAGAAGAGGAGCGAGAGCAAAAAGACCGGCGUUGUUUUCAGUGUGGGGACACUGGUCACGUAAGGAGGGACUGUCCUGAGUACCGCCAUCUGAAGCACAGGACUGCUGGGGCGCCAGCUCCCCACAUGGUACGCUCGACAGUGAGCUCUCAGUCCAUCCCGACACCGCAGGUCACACCAGAAUGUCCCGGAAGGGCCAGGCUACCCUCAGACAGCUCAAACAGUCGCCAGACUCCGCCCUAUUCUCCGCAGCCCACUGCUGUGUCCCAAAGUUCCCCCCAGCCCUCCCAGAAUAAACCCAUGUCUUCCAGCCCUCAGAAGCAAGCUGCUCACCCGCAGGUCCCGCUCUCCCUUUUCACCUUCCCAUCAUCGCACCCGGGCCAGUAUCACCUCGGGACGCUCGCGGCACUGGGGCCUCUGCCCUCCCACCAGCACCAGUCCCAAUCUCAUCACUCGGCCAACAUCCCGUCCACCUCCUGGCCCAUCCACGGACCCGUCCUUAGCACAUCUACGCCAACCGCCCCCUCGCCACCCGGCUUGAAAUUCGCUCUUCACUCGGCAUCGGGAAGCGCCACGAGCUCCGGGGGCAGCGCCAACCCAGUGAACCUAAACGACCCCAGUAUCAUUUUCGCUCAGCCGGCUGGGCUGCCGCUGGGCAUGGGUGGGCCGGGACGUGAAGGACACUGGCUCAACCACUUGGCACAAUCUGGGUCGAUUCUGGGCAACGGCACUGUAGUCAAGUCAGGUAUUCACUGGGUGAACUUGGCUCACAUUUUAUGGUUUCUGGUGUCAUUCUGGAGCUUCCUGAAGUCUUUUUUUGUUUGUUUUUGACGCCAGAUGUUACUAUAACGACAGUUUUAUGAUUCAACAAUAAAAAUACUACGAUUCAGUCGUAAAUCCACCAGACUCGUAAUAUUACGAGAAUAACGUAGUAAGUUAACGAGAAAAAAAACUUGUGAGAGUAAAGCUGUAAAUUUAUGACAAUCAAGUUGUACAUUUACAAGAAAAAACUCGUAAUAUUACGAGAAGUAAUACAUUUACGAGAAUAAAGUCGUAAAUUUCCAAGAAAAAAAUAGUCAUAUUACGAGAAUAACGUUGUAAAUUUACGACGAUUCUCGAAAUCUCCAAUUUUUUUUCCUCAACAUGGCCCUAAUACUCUGUCGUAAUUACAUAAUAUUUAAAUUGUAAUUUUUUCAUCUACAUUUUGAUUUUUCUCUUUGUAGAAUUAGCCCACCCAACCCAGUUUGUGAGCGUGAACCAAGGUUCUCACCUAUGGGAGCACAAUAAAACACCCCAGUACACGCUGUCUCCUUCCUGGUCAUACCGAAUGCCCCAGAAUUUCAUCCAGCAGGGCAACGGUCGCUACCAACCAGGUUCCAUGGCGCAUCCCAAUCCAAACCUGCACAUGGUUCCCCACGUUCGACACCCGCUAAACCUGAAUUUCAUCCAACAGAAGAAAUGAACAUGCAUACUCUUCGGUUUUAACUUUUUUUUUUUUUUUUUUUAAUCAGUGACACGACAAGUCCAAUUAUGUACCCUUUGCAUCAUUUUAACGUAAGGAUUUUUAAAGGAAUUGUAUCAUUUUUGUACAGUUUUAUUGUAUUUUUUUGGUGUCAUUAUAUUGACGUGUGAUACAAAUGUAUACUAUUUUAAUUACCCCAUUUUUGAGGGGGUCCAAAAGCGUUUUCUUUUUUAUUUUGUGUAUAAAAUAAGGGGGGAAAGUAAAUGUAUUUUUUAUUAGCUUCUGUGCUUCUGCUAAGAUGAUUAAGGCUUUAAAUAGAUGUUUGAUUUGAAAGCAGUCUAACACGUCUGUCACGUUCCACGUGUCCACUUCCUGUGUCUUAUUUUGUAGCCGCUUCCUCGUUCAGUUUUGUGCUUCCUGCCCAACAGCCUGACUUCCGGUUAGAGGCGGGACAACUGGCCACACCUGCUGUUGAUUAGCGCAUGGGUCCUACGUCCGCUGAUUGACUGCAGCUGGGACUCGAAUCCAGUUUGUUUUCUCAGUAAACCUCUUCACUGCUCAAGUUACUUGAGGUCUUACAGAAAAUUUUUGUUGCCCUUUCUCCUCCUUUCACGUCGCCCUGUUUUUUUCUACGGCCAAGUUUCCUUGCACCGUCAUGGUGUGAUUCAUGUUUUCGACUCAUUUGUUACAUAGGAGACUCCCUGUUUGUUCCUAGCUGUCCACUUCAGCUAUUUUUCUGAUUAGCGGAACCUUUUGCUGCUGCUUUUUUUUAAAGUUAUCUUUACUUGCACAUUCGCUCUUAGUUUGCGGUUUCUGUUUAUUUUGUAAUUGGUUGGUUUUGUGUUUUCGGCUGUCUGCUGGAGCCACAUUAAAAGACUCUUUGUACUA